UCAUGCAGAAAUGCUAUUAGCAAGGAUACUUGCAAAGAAGACAACAAGGAAUGAUCAUGAGUUAUCCCUUUAGUUUUUUUUUUUUUAAAUUAUAGGAGCAACUUGAUAUCAAUCUAAUAGACAGACUAGUUCGGAGAACCAAUCUCAACGUCUAUUUACAAGAAAGUACCAUUGCAGUGCCUUCCGAUACCGUUACUUGUCAUAACUGCGGCCACAGAACUGAUCUCCGCGGAUGUCCCCAAGCUCCUUUGGUUCCUGAAGGUGAUUCCAAGAAUUGCAGCUCCCCUGACGCUGUUCACAAAGUAAGGCAACAGUUAAUUGAACAAAAUAGAGUUGUGGCUGGUGAACGUACAUAACAGUAAUCAUUAUCUGAUCUUAGUUUAAUAUGAUUACAUCCCGAACGUGUAAUGGCUCAUCUGUUGAAGAGUGUAUGAGUGGCUUUUAUGUGUAUACAUGACUUAUUCGAACAGCACAGAAAACAUCAUAUGUAUUGCCACGGUUUUGUAAAUAUUACUUCGGA